UGUAAGUCUUGCAUAUCGGCACAGCAACACCAACAUGCAGGUUGAUAUGGUGCACAAACUAACUGAUUAUGAUGUCACCAGUGGGUUUUUGAUGCCGCUCUAUCAAGGUUGGGCUGUGUAGACGUGAUUUUCGGAACUGAACCCUAUGAACACUGCAGAAUUGGUGGAAAGUGGAAACUUUUUGUUGAUUGCUGCAAUCUUUAUGAAGAAAUGAGGAUGAGGUUUGGUGCGCCUGUUUGUGGCAAAAACACUGCUCUUUAUGUUAAAGUCGUUGCAAAUUAGAGAUGUGGUUCAUUUUCAUAUGGUUGUGGGAGGAUUGUUC
rnacentral:lncRNA from 1 species